GCGCGGGGAAGCAGGAAGUCUCUCUCUCUCUCCUCUGAAUCAGAGGCGGCUGGCUGCUGAUGUCCCCUCUAUUGUGACCUCCCCGUGCUUGCCCUGCGCUACUGGGUUGGUUUCCAUGGUGACCGGGGCGACGACGGGGAGGAGCGCUCGAACAAGCAGUGCAGUGUGAUGACGUCAUCCGUCCCCCGCCGGCGCGGCCGAGCCACGGAAGCAGUGCUCGGGUGUUGGUGAAGGGUAUAAAGAAUCUGUCUCUCACAGUUGAAGUGUACCUAUGAUGGAAAUUACAGACCUCUCUCAUCUUUUUAG